UGGGCGCGACCCGGACUCCUGGGCGUUCAUUGGAGCCGCCAAGUGCUCGUCACCGCCCCCUCCCGCCCCUUCAUGCCACGCUCUGAGGCCGCCUACUAGCAAGCUAUGGCACAGCGAGAAAGGUCAUUUGUUCUUCCGGAAGCUGCAGAGAAAGGGAACCCGGAAACCUAGUAUGCUGACAGAAAGGGUAAGAAAUCUUUACGGCCCAAGUUUCUGCUUUCUCUCUCUCUGUGUGUAAAUGGUAAAUGUCGCUGUUUGCCUCCCCUGCAAGGGUUUAAUUAAUAGAAAGAAAAGUAUCUGUGAGACUACUGUAAUAGAUUUGGUGCACUUUGUGCUAAGAAUUUAUCUUUCUGUAGUGGAGAGAAGGGUAUCAAAGGAUAGAACAUGGGUUUAGGACCUCUUUAAGGCCACGUUUCAAGCCAUCCCUGCCGGCUGGUUGGUUACAAACUUUGCUACAGGUCCCUGAAACCAAUACCAAAUGAAAUUUCUCUGUCUUGUUUUGUGUCUUUAAGAGCUUAACCUCAUGACCAUGAGGGGAUACUUUCUCUUGGUCUCCACCAUCCAAGGACAGGAAAUUUGGGGUUCAUGUCAAUAGCCCUAAAAAUUAUCUCAAGCAGUUAAAAGCCUUUGCAAGUUUGAAAUCGGCUGCUCUAGACUUCUGGGAAAAGCAAUAGAAACUGUUCAAUGCUGUGUAACUUAGUUAACUAAGGCUUUAUCUUUUGACAUUGUUGACCUGAGUUCAAUUCUUAGUUUCAGGAAUGAUGCCUUUCUGGUUUGUUCUUUGUGUAACUUUGCCAUUUAUUGAGGGAAAAAUGGCUGGUUUCUCAUUUUCUGUCUUGACUGUCUUGGAUUUUCCUUUCUCUGAACUACCCUUGGAGAGAUUCUAAAUCUUGGAAAAAAGAAACAAAAAAUAACAACCAAAAAAAAAAAAAAAA